CUGGGUUUAGGACCUCGUGUCCACUCACCCGCCCUUUGUCAUGAGACGCGCAAGCAACUCACAUCGUUUCGGCUCCUGGCUCUCAGGUACACUCGCUAUGGUUAGCGAGGUGCUGCCUGUCGGCCGCGGGUCGGCAUUGCAAACCCACGCGGAUUACUGAAGUCUGAUACAAUUUCAAACGAAAUUA
rnacentral:misc_RNA from 1 species